AAAGGUAAUUGUUUCUCCCUGGAGGGGAGGACUAGCAGGUUGGCCAGUGACCCAUAGAUAAGAUCCAGGUCUCCUUAUUUUGGAGUCCUCAGCUGUGACACAGAUCCAUGUGUGUGCAGCACUGACCUCACCCCUGUGGUACUUGCAAAGCUAGUUAGGGGAACUCAUGUGAACAAGAAACCCAGGCCUUCUGUGCUGUGAGCAGUAAACUGUUGAAAUUCAUUUGGAAUCAUUACAUCCUUUCUGCUUGAACUUAUGAAAGUGUGGGCACCAACCUACCAGCUAUAGCAGUUUGUUGCUACUGCUUAAGGGCUGCUUGACUGCUUGACACAGUGAAGUGAGGACAGAGGAGGCCAAUUACAGAGUGGGUGUGAAAUGAAAAGAAAGGAGACUUUGAUGGAUGUGAAGAGCAAUGUGUGAGUGCAAGACAGGAUAUAAUAAGUGCCUACAGCUUAUUCCCCCAAAAAAGGUCACUACUGAUCUGUGGCAGAGAACGCUGUGGAACCAAUAAGGAGAUCCUGGGGACUGCCCAAUCUGUGGUCUGUCGGCUGCAGAGUUGAUGCUUCCACCCUCAUGAUAUCACAGAUGACAUCAACGGUGCUGCGGUGAAAUUCCCAGUUAGUGUCAUGCCCUCCUAAGAUACUCAGAAACUACAUGUUACAUAAUUUUUGGAAAACUUGCAUUUUGAAGAUUGCAAUGGUGGAAGACCUCAUCAGGAGAAAAGAGCCUGUGCCAGACCAGUGGAAGUGCUGCACAAAACUAACUCAACUGUCUUUAAUUCACCUCUUGAUUAGCAUUUACCAACACUUUCUGCCAUUGACUUACUUAUGAAUGAAGCAGGACUGACAAGAAAAGGAGGUCGCAGAGAUGGCUACUGAGAUAAGGGACAGGAGAGUGGAGAGCAAGGUGGCAACAACUAACCAACAACAAAAUUAAAGAUUUAUUACCUAUUAUUGAAUAAAGGUACAGAGGCAAAGUUCUCUGACCAACAUUGUCCAUUAAAGAUAAUACUAG